UGACAAUGGGCGAAAGCCUGAUGCAGCAACGCCGCGUGAGUGAUGAAGGCCUUCGGGUCGUAAAGCUCUGUCCUCAAGGAAGAUAAUGACGGUACUUGAGGAGGAAGCCCCGGCUAACUACGUGCCAGCAGCCGCGGUAAUACGUAGGGGGCUAGCGUUAUCCGGAAUUACUGGGCGUAAAGGGUGCGUAGGUGGUUUCUUAAGUCAGAGGUGAAAGGCUACGGCUCAACCGUAGUAAGCCUUUGAAACUGGGAAACUUGAGUGCAGGAGAGGAGAGUGGAAUUCCUAGUGUAGCGGUGAAAUGCGUAGAUAUUAGGAGGAACACCAGUUGCGAAGGCGGCUCUCUGGACUGUAACUGACACUGAGGCACGAAAGCGUGGGGAGCAAACAGGAUUAGAUACCCUGGUAG
rnacentral:rRNA from 1 species